ensembl:ncRNA K08D9.8 ncRNA
UGAUUUCGCAUGGUUAAGAACGUGCUGACGUCACAUAUUUUUGGGCAUAAAAUUCCCGCAUUUUUGGUAGAUCAAACCGUAAUGGGACAGCCUGGCCUGGCACCACCAGCUUGGAAUCUACCGAAUUCAGCCUCAAAAACCGGCGAAUUUCACCGGAUAAACUCGCAAUAUUUCACACCACCCGGAGUGAAUUUCGAGAUGGGCGGUUUAUUGUGGCGGGGGAGG